UACGUAGAGUGCGAGCGUUGUCCGGAAUUACUGGGCGUAAAGCGUGCGUAGGUGGUUUGUUAAGUCUGAUGUGAAAGCCCUGGGCUCAACCUGGGAAUUGCAUUGGAUACUGGCAGGCUAGAGUGCGGUAGAGGAUGGCGGAAUUCCCGGUGUAGCAGUGAAAUGCGUAGAGAUCGGGAGGAACAUCUGUGGCGAAGGCGGCCAUCUGGACCAGCACUGACACUGAGGCACGAAAGCGUGGGGAGCAAACAGG
rnacentral:rRNA from 1 species